rnacentral:lncRNA from 1 species
UUAGCACAGUGCUUAGCUUGGAAGCCAAAGCCCAGAGGGGUAGAAUGACUUGCUUGAGGCCCCUCAGCUUGGACCUGGCAGAUCUGGGACCCGGUGUCUGGGCCCACCUUCAAGCUGGAUCCCUCAGGACCCUGUGUACCUGUGGCCAGGGCUUUGCUUUGGUGCCUGGAUGAGAGUGGUAAGAGUUGCUGAGGUGCCAGGCUUAGGAAAUGGCAGAAGGGGGUUGGGACCUAGGUGAGCAGCCCGUCAGGAGCCCCUGGGUGGCUUGCACUCCUAGCCCCAAGUGCAAUAUACAGGUGAGGCGCCUGCAGAAUUUUCAUUAGGCUGAGUUCAUUUCUGGAAGCAGGGAAUUGGCAUCCACUUAACCAUCCCUAAUGCCUGCCUUUUCAUGUAUGUCUGCACUUACUUCUGGCCUUCCCCGGAUGCAGUAUGUGAUUCCUGGAAGGGGUCUCCUGUACGUCGUAGUUUUGUCAUCUUCAGGCAACCCAGGAUGACAUGAUUUCUGGAAAUUUCCCUGAUUUCUUUCUGCUUCACUCUCCCUCUUUUGCUAGAAGGGAUCGGCUUAGGCAGCCAUUGUGGUGUUCAUUCAACAUGUCCAGUACAGCCUGUUACAUGAUAAUAAAAAGAGAAUACACAAGUGUUUUUAUCAAUCCCUGACCAUGCUGGGCACAAUGCUAAGCAUGUGCAGGCAUGAUGUCUUUAUUCUGCCCACUCAGCUGAUGAGAUUGAAGGGGCUCCCUGCAGGUUGGGGCCUGAAAAACACAGCCAGGUCCAUCUAGGAACUAGAAGCUAUGGUCAGGCUUACAUGCUUUUUUCAUAUCAGUGUUCAUGUAGAUGUUUAAGCUCUUGCAGUAGGUUUUUGCAAGCUAGUGAACGCUGCCAAAUUAUGCUCGCCACACAAUUGCAGCCACCUAUUCCCAGGCAGUAUAAAUAUAUGGCUGAACUAACAUUAAUACCUAUCACUGUUUUAUCAAGUGACAUAAUCAAGAUAAUUAUGAAGUAUCCAAAUAUUAAUUUUCAUAGAUUAAAAGCAGAUAAAGUAUUAGAAAUCUGCUUAUAUCAUUAGCAGAAACAUUUUUGGGGGCCACAGGGUAAGGAAAAGAGGGGAAAAUAUUGUCCUUCAACAAAAGUAAUCAUAUUCUAGUAAGUAUAAUAAAAGAAAUGACAAGCUUUUCAGAAUUUCCACGACUAAAAAUUGUUUUAGCUGCAGCUAAAAAAGCAUCACAUAACAAAAUAUCUCUUGUUUAAAAUAUUUGCUACAAAAAAGUCCUAUUCUAUAUGUCCUGCAUAAGAACAAGUAUCUUUAUAUAAGAAAUGUGUUUAAUAGCCCUCUUUCAUUCUUUUUCUGAAGCCCUCCCUGUUAAAUUGCACCCAAAGGGGAAACAUUAAUUGAACUGUAAAGCUUUUUUUUUUUCUGUCUAAAGACAUUAAAGACAUAUAGGUGGUAUUAAAUGAACCUUUAACUAGAGCUCUGUGAGUUUUCAAAAUAGAUUUUAUUUUUCUUUACCAUAGGCCAACAGAGAUUUUGAGAAACACAUUGAAGGAUCUGUUAACACUUGAU